UGCUAACUUACUUCCAUGCAGAUGCAACUCCACGUUGGCUAUUAUUUGAGGCAUUUGAUAUUUUUUUUAGAGGAGUUUGACUUUUGGAUAACUUAUUUCCAUGCAAAACUGGCAACCGCACUGGCUAUUAUUUGAGGCAUUGGCUAGUGUAUUCAUAGGGGUGGGGGGUCCCGGGUUCUCAUGGACCCAUUCUCCCAUCCCUAGAUCAUAUAAAGGAGUGUUAGAGUUUGUAAAAAUAUAAUUAAAUAUAGAUGUGUGAACUCACACUUACAUUGAUAAUUGGGUGCACCUAUCUGAG
rnacentral:lncRNA from 1 species